UACGAAGGGGGCUAGCGUUGCUCGGAAUUACUGGGCGUAAAGCGCACGUAGGCGGUCUUUUAAGUCAGACGUGAAAUCCCUCGGCUUAACCGGGGAACUGCGUCUGAUACUGGAUGGCUAGAGUUUGGGAGAGGGAUGCGGAAUUCCAGGUGUAGCGGUGAAAUGCGUAGAUAUCUGGAGGAACACCGGUGGCGAAGGCGGCAUCCUGGACCAACACUGACGCUGAGGAGCGAAAGCGUGGGGAGCAAACAGG
rnacentral:rRNA from 1 species